UUGAUACAUAUUUAUCAGGUGCUUGUUACAUGCUAGGCACCCUUCUAGGUACUGAGGAUUCACUUUUAAAGAGACACAGAAGAUUCCUACUCUCUUGGAGCUCGAACUUUGGUGGUUGCGAGAGACAACAAACAGGAAUUCACUUAAGCAAGAUGUCAGAGGAAUCUAUUAUUGUUAUCUGUUGGCCAAAAUAAGAAAGGCCCAGUUUUCAGGAGAAUCCCAAGAAGCCCUCCUAGCAUGUGCUCUGAUGCAGCACCGCUGUGCUAACUGGAAGGGGCUGACCCUCAGCUGUAGUUCAAUCUUUCUCCUGCAAAUAUGGAGUCUGUUUUGGUGUGCACACGGGUAAGGAGUUUGCAAGCUUUUAUUUGUAUGAGAAUGUUCAUGAAAUUCUGGCACCAUUGUAUUUCCCAAUGUACCGCGUGAGUCAUCAAUGAUAAGGUUGCCAAGAUUACACAGAACCUAGAUAACAAUUGGCUGCCAAAUCAAGUUGCAAAUUUAAGUAUAUCCUAAUUACAAGGAAGAUUAUACAAUAUCUGUAUGAUAACAGAAGGAUCUACAAGAUGGCAUAAAGCACAAAGGAGCUCUAACUAUUAACUCAAGAAAUGCUUAACCAAAAAAAAAGGUAUUAAGGCAUAAAGAAGCAUCAUAUAAUGGGGAGAGGCCUGUAGAGCAAAACACAAUCUUUACCGCAAAAGAACAAUAAGAAAAACAACAAAAGCAAAAGUGACACCAGCAGAGAGGCAGACCCAAGACAUCCAUUGAAAAAUCUGUUACUUUCAAUCAGUGUCACGGAGGCAAGAUUUUCCCCCGUUUCUUUUCCUAUCUCAUUUUUAAAUUUUAUUUUUAAUACCCCUGAGCAUAUUUUAAUUCCUUCCUCCCAUCCAUCAUUUUUUUCUCCACGAAUUUCUCUCUUUCAUAGAACUAUAUGUCUUCUACAUUUGAACCCACCAACAUCCCCUCAUGACAGUCCUUCCAACUCACUCUGAACUUCAGGCAGAAAGGAAUGGUUUACAAGAUAAUGAUACACAAAAAUAGACAGAGUAGAUUUGAAAUCAUUGUGGUAUAGUAGUAAUGCUUCAGACAUUGGCCUUUCACAUAAACAUAUAGCGCUUUUUAUCUUGUGCAUACCUGCUAUCACCAAGUCAUUUACUAGGUUCUUUCUCAUGUAAUGCUCACAAUACAGUGAUAAAUAUA
rnacentral:lncRNA from 1 species